CUCUGUUUGGACCCCUGUUCUAGACCAAUGACUGGUUACUUCCUGUCAUGCAGCUGAGAGCUGUGGCAGGCAGUCGUAGUGUUUGCAGAGAAGAUAUGAUGGGAUGUAAAGCAUGAGAUCAGGACUCUGAAGCUGACUCAAAGAACAAACACUUAUUUUAAACUGGAUCUUAAACUGUUGGAUUGUGUUCAUCUCUACAGGAUCAGAUGGGGUGAAGAGCCGAUGAGAGCCACGAUCCAGAAGACCUGUGACAGGAAGUGAAGACACACAGAAAGUUUAUUCAUCACGGGGCGAGUUUGAGACGUGAAGAGGAGCGUGGAGGCAUUUUGGAAAAUAAAGAAGAAGGCUGCAGCUGAUGAGAGACUUCCUGUUAGCUCUCCUCAAUAUCAAAUGA